UUUAUUUAAUGAUAAAGGAUUUUGGAAAAUAAUGAUAUUUCUGUCCUAUAAGUGUUGUCUAAAGACUGGUGCCAGAAGACUCGGUAAGGCCAGAAACGCUAACGUUAAUAGUCUUGAUCAGGCGUAAAGGGUUCGUAGGCAUCUCUGUAUAAAUUUAAACCUUUUAUAAAAAGGAUAUAAAGCACCUAGGCUAAAAUAAAAGGUAAAAGUUUUAAUAGAAACAGAGAUAGAAUCUUAUCCGUGACAAAGAGAAAUGCCAGAAGUAAGGGUGAAAUCUAUAGAAUUCUGGUGGAAGACUCUGGGCGAAAGCUAUAUGUCUAGAAAAGAUUGACGCUAAAGAACGUAGGUUGGGUUAAGAAAAAAGGAUUAGAUACCCAAGUAUUCCCAUCUGUUAACGAUGAAUAGUAGUCCUUCAGUAAAUUUUCCACUAAAUAAAAGCAUAAAAUUUUCAUUUUAUUUAUCAAAUGCUAUUUUAUCUUUACCUAAUCUUUGUUAUUUCAGUACUUAUCGGGCAAAGCCUGCCCUUUCUGUAUAUUAUUUCUAAGUUUUUUUUGGCUGGCAAAGCCAGCCCAUCUUUCACAGUCAAUAAUAUUAGGAUAACAUUAAAGAGGAAGAUUUAGGUUUAGUGUUAAAUAUAUAAACUGUGAGGCGAAGCUAACGCAAUUACUGUUCCGCCUUGUAAGUACGACUGCAAAGUUGAAAACAAAAAAAUUAGUCGGUCUCGGAGCAACG
rnacentral:rRNA from 1 species